rnacentral:rRNA from 1 species
UACGUAGGGCGCAAGCGUUGUCCGGAAUUAUUGGGCGUAAAGAGCUCGUAGGCGGCCUGUCGCGUCUGCUGUGAAAUCCCGGGGCUUAACCCCGGGCGUGCAGUGGAUACGGGCUGGCUGGAGGCAGGCAGGGGAGACUGGAAUUCCUGGUGUAGCGGUGAAAUGCGCAGAUAUCAGGAGGAACACCGGUGGCGAAGGCGGGUCUCUGGGCCGAUAUCGACGCUGAGGAGCGAAAGCGUGGGGAGCGAACAGG